rnacentral:rRNA from 1 species
UACAGAGGUCCCAAGCGUUGUUCGGAUUCACUGGGCGUAAAGGGUGCGUAGGUGGUUGGGUAAGUCUGAUGUGAAAUCUCCGGGCUCAACCCGGAAAUGGCAUUGGAUACUAUUCGGCUAGAGGUUUGGAGGGGGGACUGGAAUUCUCGGUGUAGCAGUGAAAUGCGUAGAUAUCGAGAGGAACACCAGUGGCGAAGGCGAGUCCCUGGACAACACCUGACACUGAGGAGCGAAAGCCAGGGGAGCAAACGGG